GAGGCAAGAAUGAAAAAAAUAAAAGGUGGAUGACACAAAACCUGCCACCCAGCCUGAGCUUUGCUGAGGACGGCCCCUCCCUCUGUGGCCAGGAAGUCAUUCCCAUUUCUGCUGGAAGGAAACGAUGGUGCCUAUGUAUUUAAAAUCUCCUGGAAAUGAAAGACUCAGUGAUUUCUUAGAAGCAGUAGGGCAGGCAACGUAGGUGUGUGUGUCUGGUGAUGGUGGUGGUGUUUGGGACACGGACAGGUGAAGGGUACGGUGUUACUUGAAACACAAGCGGGAAAUGGCCUCUUUCCUCCUCCUUCACCUUGGAUGUGGACUGGUCCACUCCCAGGUGAAGGGCACUGGCCAGAUGUGUGACCUGGGCGACUUCCUCCAUCUCUCCUGGGUUGGGCUUCUUUUCCUGGAAAACGAGAUUGGGCUAGAUGAUUCCUAAGGUCUGACUAAACCUAACUUGUCUCCGAGUCCAUCAUUCGUAGCAAAACAGAAAUCACAGAGCAGGAGAAAAUGUUCUUCAGGUGGACUUCCUGUUCAAGGUCUUUUCUGAUUUCCCACAGGGGCAGUGAAGUCAUGAACGAGUCUGUGAAACAACAUCAUUUUCUUGGAGGUGGUUUGUGCCCUUUGCAAAAUGAACCAACUAACCCAUCAGUUAACCAACUAACCCAUCAGUUAACCAACUAACUACACGACUAAAUCAACUCACUGACCAACACACACCCGAACAGGUAGGAAUGGAAACGUCCUCUUCUGUGAAAAACAGUGAAUGACGCUGCAACGGGGAGUGAUGCUGAGCUCUCCGCAGCAACCCCGGGCCUGCGGGGUCCAGCAGACCCCAAAUGUGAACGACAGUAAAGUACGUGGCUGACUAGACUGGUCUUGCAGCCAGGCCGGUGUGCCUUGGGAUGAAAUAUUUCCAAGGAUGGUUUUUCUCUAAAACUCCGAUGGCUGGAUGGCAGCCCCGGGGUGUUUCGUGACAUGAACCUGUAAGCGUCUGGUACUCCCUGGCUCGCAGGGCACCGGCUACUUUGGUUUCAUGUGGCCCUGCCAACAGUGGAGAGGCGCCGUGUGCACUUUCAGUCACGUGACCCGGUGACUCAGGCCCUUUCUAGUUCAUGCUUGUUGGAGUUUGGGAACCAGGGAGGAAGGGUGAGAAGCUCCCGCACCAGCUCUCUGGGAGGGUCUGGGCUUGAGUAAUAGUUUAUCGUGUGGCUCACCCUGAACCCUUUUUAUGCCAGUGUAAUAAAGUUAUCUUAUAGUUUCAGGAUUGCCAUUUUCAGAUGAGGUUUCCGGAGCUCAUGUAUCCUAGCUCCUGUCUCCAAACGGAGUAAGCCAGAAUCAUCCGAGGGGAAAAAAAAAGUCUACAUUUCACCACUUCCUUUAAUGAAAUGGUUUGGUGUUUAACCACCUCGUCACCAGAAAUAUCUCUGUGCUCUUGACCUAAAUUCACCCUGCCACGUUUCAGCGUGAUUCCGGUUACUCAGGGAGACAGACUGGAAAAUUCAUUUCAUAGCAGUAGGAGUGUCUAAGUAACCUUAAGGGAAGGUGCUUAUUCCAACUUUAUUUUCUCUUCCCUGCCGAUCUAUAGCCCCCUUUCAAACUAGAUUUCAAAGGUUGAACCCCCUUUCCGAAUCUUUCACUGCUGAACCCCUGUCAUCCAGAGAGACCAGAACACACGAGCUUGGGGUUCAUUUUUCAUGCACUUGUUCUUGUUGACAAGCUCUUUUGCAAAUGUUCUGAGUCUAUUUCAGGUCACAGCGCUCUGUAUUUGCAAGUAGGAUGGAUUCUCUUUAAUGCAACUCUGGUGCUGUGAAAAAUGCCUGGGCUUGGAGUCAGAAGUCCUGGACUUGUCACUCACCAGCUGUUAUUUGAGACACAUUCCUCAGCCUCAGAGAGGUUCCGUUUACUCGUCUGGAAAACAGAGAAAAUGGGGCUUCAACUGCUGGGGUCAUUGUGAAGAUAAAUGAAGGAAAAUGUAUGCAAGUGCUGAGGAUAAUGGCUCACAUUUGACGGGUGACCCGCAGGCACUAAUUCACAUUUUUUUAAGGGCAGUGCCUAUAACUUCUAUUUCUAUAGUUUUCCUUGUUAAGGGCUCAGGGUGCUGCUUUGCCCACUGGAGAAGCUUCGUGAGGACUGCUGACUGGCCAGCUUAUUUGGUAGCUGAGGACACACAAUCGGAAAAGGAUUUAGGGUCAUUUUGUGGUCUGAAGUCUGGUGAAGUCCCAGAUUGCGGGUGCCCACAGCAGGUGGGUUGCAGGAGAUGGAACGAUGGGGCAGUAUGUGUCUGCCGGGAAACCAGGUGAGGCAAGAGCCAUAGAAUAGGAAUCUAGGGGAAACAUAACUGAGGAUUUGCUCUGAAAGAGAAGUCUGAUGCAGGCAUAUGGGCAAGAAACGGUCCCAUAAGCAACUCUGUCUCUUGUAACUUCUCCAGCUCUUAGAGUUCACCUUUGUGCUGCCUUUCUGUGUUACUGCGUCACUUCAACAAGUCCGUUCUGAUCCUUAUCUGUGAGAGGUGGGGCUUCUGUAUCCAGGUGCUCAAGUUGAUUGCCUAGGAAGUUGCAGAAGUAAUUUCUGCGAAAACAACUUAUUUUCCCCAGAAAGCACAGGAUCUGUCCUCCAUCUAGUUCCUUAGGGCUUCUUCCGCACCAGGGUCCGAGACCCCAUGAUAUGGCUGCAGCGAGGCUCUGCUGCCAAUCCCUGACUCACACAGGACAGUCUCUAAGGAUAGGACAAGUACCCUUGGACCUGUGUUCCUACAACUUCUGCAAGAGCCUCCCCGGGCACAUACCCAGCAUGGGGGAAUUGCUGGGCGUGAGAUUCCACAUACAAUUUAGCACUUUUUAAAUUCACUAUAAUAUAUCUAGGUAUGGAUCCCCUGCUUAUCUAUGUUUUAUAAAAACACUCCGGGAUCUAUACCUUCUCUCUGGAAACUUUUAGAAUUGUCAUUUUUGUUUUUGGUUUCCUGGACCAUAUUUAUUUUCUUUACUUUCUGAGCCCCAUGACAUGACAGCAAAGGAAUAAAAACUGGUAUAAACUUCCAAUAAUGUAGAGAACAUGGAGAGAGUCUUCAGAAGAUAGGCAAUUAUGUGAUGUGUGGAUUAUAAGAAGUAGGACGGUCACCACAUGGAACCUGGGUCCACUCAUCCGAUGUGCAGCAAAGCCAAUCCGCUGACACAGGGCUAUGGCGAAGGAAAGUAUAGCAUUUAUUACAGGGCACCAAGCAAGGAGAUCGCUCCUCCUCAAGGGAUAUAUUGAUACAUAACAAUCUGAUACAAAUCUUUGAGUUCUUCUAUAGGAACUAAGGUCCUCACCCAGGUAACUUCAGGCUGAGCACAAGAUUCCUGGAGCACUGCCUUGUUACCUCACCACUAACCAAUCAGAAGAAAGUCGUGCACCACACAGCCCUCACCCCAAAUUUUGCUUUUAAAAACUCUCCUCUGAAAACCAGCAGGGAGUUUGGGUCUUUUGAGCAUGAUCUGCCUGUUCUCCCUGCUUGGCCUUUGGAAUAAACCUUUCUCUGCUCCAAACUGUGAUGUUUCCAUUUGUUUGGCCUUACUGUGAGUAGGGCACAUGAACUUGGGUUCAACACAGUUUCGUUCUUGUCUAAAGAAAUCAAACAACCUGUUUUUAGUGUGGGCAAUAAUGCCACAUCUGGGAUCCAUUUCUAUUCACCCUGAAACGGAGCCCAGUAGUCAACAGUGGCACACUGAGUUCACGGUCAGCUUUAAUAAUUCCCACCAGUGACUACUUACUUGAGGGAAUUGUGAUACAUGAAAAGAAACGUCAUGGAAUAGAGAAAUAAUCUCACAGGAAUACAAGAGAUAAUUCAGGGUAAAUAAGGAGCUUGAGAGAAACUAAUUUGUAUCCACAGAGACAUUUAUGAAGACACCAUGUCAAUUAAACAAGAAGAAGAGGCUAUGAAAAGGCUAAUUAAAAAGCUGGAAGAUAAAAUAGAGAAAAUUAAAAGACGAAGAGUAUAAAAUGAUCAACAACAACAAUAAAAACAUUUAGAAUAACCCAGGGGCUCAACAUCCAGCUGAUAGGAGAUUUAAAAAAAAAAAAAGUGGGGCUUCCCUGGUGGCGCAGUGGUUGAGAGUCCGCCUGCCGAUGCAGGGGACACGGGUUCGUGCCCCGG